rnacentral:rRNA from 1 species
AACGAACGCUGGCGGCAUGCCUAACACAUGCAAGUCGAACGAGACCUUCGGGCCUUGUGGCGCACGGGUGCGUACCGCGUGGGAACCUGCCCUUAGGUUCGGUAUAACUCCCCGAAAGGGAUGUUCAUACCGGAUAAUGUCUUAGGACCAAAGAUUUAUCGCUUCUGGAUGGGCCCGCGUUGGAUUAGCUAGUUGGUAGGGUAAAAGCUUACCAAGGCGACGAUGCAUAGCUGGUUUGAGAGGAGGAUCAGCAACGCUGGAACUGAGACACGGCCCAGACUCCUACGGGAGGCAGCAGAGGGUAAUAUUGGACAAUGGGGGAAAGCCUGAUCCAGCAGUGCCGCGUGAGUGGUGAAGGCCUUAGGGUUGUAAAGCGCUUUUACCCGGGAUGAUAAUGACAGUACCGGGAGAAUAAGCUCCGGCUAACUCCGUG